rnacentral:rRNA from 1 species
UACGGAGGGAGCUAGCGUUAUUCGGAAUUACUGGGCGUAAAGCGCACGUAGGCGGCUUGGCAAGUCGGAUGUGAAAUCCCUCGGCUCAACCAAGGAAGUGCAUCCGAAACUGCCGAGCUUGAGUACUUAAGAGGAUCGCGGAAUUCCCGGUGUAGAGGUGAAAUUCGUAGAUAUCGGGAGGAACACCAGUGGCGAAGGCGGCGAUCUGGGAAGAUACUGACGCUGAGGUGCGAAAGCGUGGGGAGCAAACAGG